CAGCAGCCGCGGUAAUACGAAGGGUGCAAGCGUUAAUCGGAAUUACUGGGCGUAAAGCGUGCGUAGGCGGUUUCUUAAGUCUGCUGUGAAAUCCCCGGGCUCAACCUGGGAAUGGCAGUGGAUACUGGGAGGCUAGAGUGUGUCAGAGGAUGGUGGAAUUCCCGGUGUAGCGGUGAAAUGCGUAGAGAUCGGGAGGAACAUCAGUGGCGAAGGCGGCCAUCUGGGACAACACUGACGCUGAGGCACGAAAGCGUGGGGAGCAAACAGGAUUAGAUACCCGGGUAGUCCCUGUCUCUUAUAC
rnacentral:rRNA from 1 species